rnacentral:rRNA from 1 species
GCAAUUACCCAAUCCUGACACAGGGAGGUAGUGACAAGAAAUAACAAUACAGGGCGAAUGUCUUGUAAUUGGAAUGAUGGUGACCCAAACCCUCACCAGAGUAGCAAUUGGAGGGCAAGUCUGGUGCCAGCAGCCGCGGUAAUUCCAGCUCCAAUAGCGUAUAUUAAACUUGUUGCAGUUAAAAAGCUCGUAGUUGUAUUUUUGCGUUGACGGUUUGACCAUUUGGUUGGUUAUUUCGUUUUCGCUUUUGGGAAUUUCCCUUUUUACUUUGAGAAAAUUAGAGUGUUUCAAGCAGACUUUUGUCUUGAAUACUUCAGCAUGGAAUAAUAGAGUAGGACUUUGGUUCUAUUUUGUUGGUUAUUGAACCUUAGUAAUGGUUAAUAGGAACGGUUGGGGGCAUUUCGUAUUUAAA